AUUGAACGCUGGCGGCAGGCCUAACACAUGCAAGUCGAACGAGUGGCGGACGGGUGAGUAAUGUCUGGGAAACUGCCUGAUGGAGGGGGAUAACUACUGGAAACGGUAGCUAAUACCGCAUACCAUCGGAUGUGCCCAGAUUGGAUUAGCUAGUGGGUGGGGUAAAGUCUCACCUAGGCGACGAUCCCUAGCUGGUCGGAGAGGGUGACCAGCCACACUGGGACUGAGACACGGUCCAGACUCCUACGGGAGGCAGCAGUGGGGAAUAUUGCACAAUGGGCGAAAGUCUGAUGCAGCCAUGCCGCGUGUAUGAAGAAGGCCUUCGGGUUGUAAAGUACUUUCGGCGGGGAGGCGUUACCCGCAGAAGAAGCACCGGCUAACUCCGUGCCAGCAGCCGCGGUAAUUC
rnacentral:rRNA from 1 species